UUACUACCAUUGGUUACAACCAAUAUCUUCGAGAGGUAGCAAUUAAUUUGGUGAACAAUGACAGUAGUUGUAGCCUCUGUAGGAGUAAGGGGCCAAGAGGGGUCACCUUUUCAUGAUCUCACCACAACUAUGUGUACAAAUCAACCAAGACACAUCAGUAUAUUUUAGACCGCCUUUGUAAGUCAUUUCUGAAAUUUGUC
rnacentral:lncRNA from 1 species